rnacentral:rRNA from 1 species
CAGCCGCCGCGGUAAUACGGAGGGGGCUAGCGUUGUUCGGAAUUACUGGGCGUAAAGCGCACGUAGGCGGCUUGGUAAGUUAGAGGUGAAAGCCCAGGGCUCAACCCUGGAAUUGCCUUUAAGACUGCCGAGCUAGUAGGUGAGAGAGGUAAGUGGAAUCCCGAGUGUAGAGGUGAAAUUCGUAGAUAUUCGGGAGAACACCAGUGGCGAAGGCGGCUCACUGGCUCAUUCUAGACGCUGAGGUGCGAAAGCGUGGGGAGCAAACAGGAUUAGAUACCCCUGUAGUCCCUGUCUCUUAUAC